rnacentral:rRNA from 1 species
GAAUAUUGGACAAUGGGCGAAAGCCUGAUCCAGCCAUGCCGCGUGUGUGAAGAAGGUCUUCGGAUUGUAAAGCACUUUAAGUUGGGAGGAAGGGCAUUAAGUUAAUACCUUGNUGUUUUGACGUUACCNACAGAAUAAGCACCGGCUAACUUCGUGCCAGCAGCCGCGGUAAUACGAAGGGUGCAAGCGUUAAUCGGAAUUACUGGGCGUAAAGCGCGCGUAGGUGGUUCGUUAAGUUGGAUGUGAAAUCCCCGGGCUCAACCUGGGAACUGCAUCCAAAACUGGCGAGCUAGAGUAUGGUAGAGGGUGGUGGAAUUUCCUGUGUAGCGGUGAAAUGCGUAGAUAUCGGAAGGAACACCAGUGGCGAAGGCGACCACCUGGACUGAUACUGACACUGAGGUGCGAAAGCGUGGGGAGCAAACAGGAUUAGAUACCC